GGAAAGUCAAGCAGCCUCAAUGUUGUUGUGAAAGGUGCAGUGUCCAGUGGGCUAACUGGCAUAGCCUGCACAGAUGAGCAGCGACAAUGGAAUGCAGGGACUCGGAGGAACCUUGAGCCAAAGCGGUUAAACAGCAUUGACUUCACACACUAUAAGGCCAGUGACCAAUAUGCAGAAAAGCGUCCCCUGCCUCCCACUCCUGUAUUCCACUCACAGGAGGAAUUGAAUAGGAGCCUGAGACACCUGAAUCUGCCUGUGGGGAGUCUGCUCUAUAAAUAAUGAGCUGAUGGCCUCCCAGUGGCUGGAAGACUGUGGAUACUCUGUGGACCACAGAGGCACUGUUGUCAGUGUUGAAGAGCCAUGGCUAUCAUCAAGCCCUGACAGAGUGCUGAACUCCAAGGAGCUGUUGGAGAUCAAGUGUCCUGUCAUGGGGAAGGCUUCUAGGGCCCUAUGAUUUCCGCGAUGUGGAAAACGAACAGAAUCGCAGAAUUUGGUAAUAAAAAUGGAAUCAACUGUAGAAUGUGGAAUUUUGCAGAAUUUGGCUGAAAUUGAUUUAAAAAAAAAUCUAAAGUAGGCCUAAUUAUUGUAGUAACGUAAAUUAUUUCAUAAUUAUAGACGAUUAUGCCUAGGAAAAUAGUGUCCAUGUAACCGGUCUCUGUCAUGUCAUCAAUCUGGUGGGUGAGACCUGGCAGCACUACAAAUACUUCUCUGUAGUUGCAUCACUUGUGACAUGGAUGAGAUCUGUCUUCUUCAAGAAGCCUGGCAGAAAGAGAAGAUGGGUGAUGACAGCUCUGUCACUCCUGGAAAGAACCCACCAUCCCACAGCAGUGUCUGCAUACAAUGACAUGGAGGAUCUGGGCUCUUACCUAGUGAAUGGAACAGCAAAAACAUGUGGGUAUGGUGCCAAGACAGAUGAGCUAUUGAGAAAGAUGGGGAUUGGAGGGAGGUGCUUGACCGUCUCUGAUGCAUUCCACUUGGCCUUCAAAGUUGUCAAAACACUGGGACACACAUCCAGCGAGGGAGGUCUACAGGCUGGCUAGGGUGUUCGAUCCUAGGCAGGCUCCAGCCAUGGAAAAGCAGAUUGAAGGCUACACACAACUGAAACCCAUGGCAAGCCCAUCAUCAGAGCUCAGUGAAAAAUGUGUCCAGGGAGCCCUCACCUGCUUUGGAGCUUGCUGAUUACUGGAGGGGCCUGAGUGUGAGAUUCCCAAGAGUUGCAGAAGUGGCAGUGGCCUACAUCUACUUCCCACUCAGCUCAGUUGACUGUGAGAGGAGUUUCAGCAAAUACAAGACUACUUACAGACAAGCGAGAAGCACUCACUGAGCUCAAAACAGAGGCUGACAAUCAUGUACUUCAAUGGAGAUGUCAGUGAUAGAUGGAAAACUUACAAUGGACAGACAUAGGAGCUCAUAAGGUAGUUCCAUAGGUUUUUCUUAUUGCUGCAUUGUUGCCUAGAUUCUUGCAUUACCUUUUCUUUAAUGAAACACUUAGAACUCUGUACUGAAGCACUUGCCUUUAUUUUUUUUUUAAAUAGUGCAAUGUUGUGUUGCAUCAUUACAAAGGUACUGUUAUCUUAUUUGAUGUUUUAUUCAUUCAUAUUACUAGACACGCUUUCUGAUGAUAAAAUUAGCAUAAAUCGUAAAACAUAGAAUUCAGAAACAUUUUCACAGAAAAAUUGAAUUUGAGAAAAAAUAUAAUGGAAUUUUGAAAAAAUAAAACGGAUUUCAUAGGGCCCUAGGAAGGGCUGUGAUUCUCUGGAUGAUGUCUUCAAUGGGAAAGCCUGUGAUGUGAAGGUGGUGGGGGGCACACCCUAACUGCAACCACAUGGGCCACGUGGCUACUACAUGCAGCUGCAAAUUGGUAUGUUUUGCACAAGACUGAGACAAAGUAAGGUGCUCAUUUGGACUCUGUCCCGGCAAGUUGUCAUCCCCGUUCCCUAUGAUGCACAGGUCUGUGCAGAGGCUGUCCUGAGGUUGAAGGCAUUCUACUCAACACAUGCUGUCAUUUAUUGUUAAGAAGCAUCAGGCAGGCAGCUUGUCACUGAGUGACAAAUAUAUGCAGCUCUGUACACGUAUGUAGUUAGAUGUCUCUCCUGUUUGCAGUUACUAUUAACACAUUGUUUUUCAAUUAAAAAGCCUGAC
rnacentral:lncRNA from 1 species